rnacentral:tRNA from 1 species
GGGGCUAUAGCGCAGUUGGUAGCGCAUCUGCUUUGCAAGCAGAGGGUCGCCGGUUCGAAUCCGGCUAGCUCCA